UUUUCAUUUAUUUGUUCUUCAGCCUUUAAGUGAGUGCUUGCUAUAUGCCACAAGACUGGAGGAGCAUCAAAUGGACAGAGACGCAUAGAGGAGGAGUGGAGAAAUGAGAUGAAGAUAUGGCAGCGGGAUUCAGAGCUGGGAGGAUGCUAGAGGAAGAGAAGAGGCCACAACAUGUCACUGCUUAGACGCAAAGCUCAGUAGGGGACGUGGCAGGAGGCUAAGAGUUAUCACUCAAGAUGGAAGACUGAUGUGACCAAGGAGCCCAGACCAUGGUACCACUCACACUCAGGAUGGGUCUUCCUACCUCAGUUAAACCUCCUUGGAAAAGACUUCAGGCAUGCUCAGAUGAGUGUGCCCAAAGUUAUCUGGAACCCCACCAAGUUAUCUGCCAACAUUAACCAUCUCCGGUGUUAUAGGGUAGGUGUGCUAUGUCAGGAGAGACCCAGUACUGGAAACAAACCAAGAUCUUAUCCUGGACAUGUUACACGCAAGGGGAUGACAGGCUAACACAAGAUGAAAUUAAUGUAAGUUUUAAACCCAUAACAAGGUAGAGAAGCCAAGGUGAGAACUGGGAACCAGCUGCAAUGGACGCCACACCAGUACACGGGGAUCAACACCCUCCACGGUGUGCUGUGGCAGAGCUUAGGAGGCAGAGACAGAAGGAUCCAGAGUACAAGAUUAUUCUGGGCUGCACAGCAAGAAUGAAGCUUGAACUACACAGGAAAAUUUUCUCUCCAAAAUAAAGAAAAUAGCAAGCUAUCUUCUCCACAGAGUCAUUCUGAAAGCCUCCGCUUCCAUCUUUAUUUAUUUAACUAAACUAUAAGAAAAUGGCCCCCAAAAGAACAAUUUGCCUCAAAAUGCUUUAAUGAGGUGUUUUGUAACCAGCUAGAGUCCUGACAAGCUCCUAUACUUAUGAUGAAGACCAACAGACUAAUUUCCUCCUUCAUCAUCGUCCAAAUUCUGUUAGAUUAUGCUCUUCAAGAAAGUGCUCAUUAGUGACUCAUUCUAAUUAAAUCACAGUGCUUCAGAGUUCUACAUCUGAAGGAGAUCUUUGAGGAUCAUCCCAUAAAAGUUCAAGUCCAAAUGCAGACCGCCUUCCAAGCCUACUGGAGAGGAGCCCGUCUUCAGAACAGUCACUCAAAAGGAUGGCUCUGAGCUUAGUGGUCCAGGACUUGUCUAGCACUUACCAUGAAUGCCAUCCGCAAAACUGGAGAGAAGGAGAGAGGGAAGGAGGGAGGGAUGGAGGGAGAGGGGGAAAGAGAGGGAGGGAGGGAGAAAGAAGAGAGGGAGAGAAGGGGAGAGAGAGGGAGAGAGGGGGAGCUGGAGAGGGAGAGAAGGGGAGAGUGGGAGGGUGGAAAGAGGGGGAGAUGAAGAGGGAGAGAGGUGGAGAGAGGG
rnacentral:lncRNA from 1 species